rnacentral:snoRNA from 2 species
ACCUCAGUGAUUUCUACCAGUCACUCUGGUUAUAUACGCUAUUCUGAUUGCUGCUGCUGAAAAACAGUAUUUAUGAGAGUU